GACGAACGCGCGGCGUGCUUAACACAUGCAAGUCGAACGGAAAGGCCCUGCUUUUGUGGGGUGCUCGAGUGGCGAACGGGUGAGUAACACGUGAGUAACCUGCCCUUGACUUUGGGAUAACUUCAGGAAACUGGGGCUAAUACCGGAUAGGAGCUCCUGCUGCAUGGUGGGGGUUGGAAAGUUUCGGCGGUUGGGGAUGGACUCGCGGCUUAUCAGCUUGUUGGUGGGGUAGUGGCUUACCAAGGCUUUGACGGGUAGCCGGCCUGAGAGGGUGACCGGCCACAUUGGGACUGAGAUACGGCCCAGACUCCUACGGGAGGCAGCAGUGGGGAAUAUUGCACAAUGGGCGGAAGCCUGAUGCAGCAACGCCGCGUGCGGGAUGACGGCCUUCGGGUUGUAAACCGCUUUCGCCUGUGACGAAGCGUGAGUGACGGUAAUGGGUAAAGAAGCACCGGCUAACUACGUG
rnacentral:rRNA from 1 species